rnacentral:misc_RNA from 1 species
GUUCCUCCUCUCCUUUUUGAACGCAAAUUGCACCCUCUGGUAUUCCGGAGAGCAUGCCUGUUUGAGGGUCAGUUUAAACAACAAUCGGUGUGGUUGUUGCGUUUCGUGGUGACGCACCGGAUUUGGGUCGUCUUGCCUUCGGUUAGGUGACAUAAAAUUUUGCAUGAUUUUCUUCGAACGUAUGUAAUUGAGUUUAUGUAAGCUUGCGAUAUCG